GAUGAACGCUGGCGGCGUGCCUAAUACAUGCAAGUCGAGCGAACGGACGAGAAGCUUGCUUCUCUGAUGUUAGCGGCGGACGGGUGGGUAACACGUGGAUAACCUACCUAUAAGACUGGGAUAACUUCGGGAAACCGUAGCUAAUACCGGAUAAUAUUUUGAACCGCAUGGUUCAAAAGUGAAAGACGGUCUUGCUGUCACUUAUAGAUGGAUCCGCGCUGCAUUAGCUAGUUGGUAAGGUAACGGCUUACCAAGGCAACGAUGCAUAGCCGACCUGAGAGGGUGAUCGGCCACACUGGAACUGAGACACGGUCCAGACUCCUACGGGAGGCAGCAGUAGGGAAUCUUCCGCAAAGGGCGAAAGCCUGACGGAGCAACGCCGCGUGAGUGAUGAAGGUCUUCGGAUCGUAAAACUCUGUUAUUAGGGAAGAACAUAUGUGUAAGUAACUGUGCACAUCUUGACGGUACCUAAUCAGAAAGCCACGGCUAACUACGUG
rnacentral:rRNA from 1 species